AGGGAAGGUGUGAUGUCAAGAAUUAUGUGCUUUACUGGGGGUUUGGACUCACGAAGGAUUGGCUGGUUAUUAAGGUCUGGGAUUCGAUUCUGUCCUGUUUGCAAGCUAGUAAGUUAGCCUGUUACUAUUUUGUGGAUGCUGGCAGAAAACACAAAACUUCCGCAUCAAAGAAAAAGGACUUUAUUACUCAAGGCACAGAAAGCAGUUUGACUAUCAUGUUUGGUUUAAUGCCUCUUGCCUCCCAAAUUUCACAGCAGCGACAUGGAGGAUCCCAGGUGGGAAAUCCCAUGACUUGAGGAAUCCACUGCUUUUGUAGGAAAUGGUGGAGCACGGCAAGGAUGGCAUCUGCAGUGGUGUUGGGGGACAUCCUGGUGGCCCAGAGUGGGAUAAUGCAGUUCAAGUGGGGUCAAGAGAACAUCCUACAGAGGAGAGGGUGGCCUGGUAUAGGGUGUCAGACCCCAAGCAAGGUAAGGAGGGUAAACCACUUACCUGGGGCAGCCUGGCCCUGGAAAGUCAGAGCCUGAGCUCAGAGCUCCUGAGGAAGGUGAAGGGGUGAGGGUUGGAGGUGGUAACACAAGGAAAACCUGGAAAGAGGACUAUAGAGCCCAGCACAGAAGGGCAGGAAUCUCAGCAGAUGGGGGAGUGAGGCAAGGAUUAGAGAGUGUUUGCAUACAAGGGUGUCAUAUUGUGAUUUACAAUAAGAAGUAUGAGAGUUCCCAUUAUGGCUCAAUGAGUUAAGGACCUAACAUUGUCUCUCUUAGGAUGUGGUUCAAUCCCUGGCCUCGCUUAGUGGGUUAUAGGGAUCCAGCAUUGCUGCAAGCUAUGUUGUAGUUCACAUAUUUGGCUCAGAUCUGGCAUUGCUGUGUCUGUAACAUAGGCCUCAGCUGCCGCUCCAAUUCAUCCCUGGCCUGGGAAUUUCCACCUGCUGCAGGUGUGGCCAUAAAUGGAGAAAAAAAAAAAGAAAUAUGUAUUUCAUCUUCCAGUUUCUGCCACCAGAGUUCCUAAAACCGUUGGAAUUUCCUGAGCCGAAGAGGAUAAAGGUGUCUUUUCAUUGUGUUAAUGAGGUGACUUUAGGAACGUUGCCAGGAGAACCCACUUAUCGUGAUUAGAGAUGGAACAUUCAGUCCCGCCUCUCUGACUUAAGGGGAGGGAAGAGGUUGAACCAAUAACCAAUGACCAACCAUUUGACCAAUCAUGUCUUUGUAAUGAAACCUCCAUAAAAGCCCAAAAGGACGGCAUUCAGAGAGCUUCUGGGUUGGUGAACACGUGCAGAUUGGCGGAGGGUGGAGUGGUCAUUGAGGGCAUGGAUCCUCUGAACCCUUUCUCCACACCUUGCCCUGUGCCUCUCUUCCAUCUGGCUAUUCCUGGGUUAUAUCUUUUUAUAAACUUGGUAAGUAAAUUGUUUCUAUGGGCAGCUCUAGCACAUUGAUGGACCCCAAGGAAGAGGCUGUUGGAACUUCCA
rnacentral:lncRNA from 1 species